rnacentral:rRNA from 1 species
UACGGGGGGGGCAAGCGUUGUUCGGAAUUACUGGGCGUAAAGGGCGCGCAGGCGGCUUGGCAAGUCGAGUGUGAAAUACCUCAGCUUAACUGAGGAAUGGCGCUCGAAACUACCUCGCUAGAGGGCGGGAGAGGGAAGUGGAACUCUCGGUGUAGGGGUGAAAUCUGUAGAUAUCGAGAGGAACACCGGUGGCGAAGGCGGCUUCCUGGCCCACAUCUGACGCUGAGGCGCGAAAGCGUGGGGAGCAAACAGG